CAGCACCUCAAGUGGUCAGGAUGAUUAUUGGGCCUAAAGCAUCCGUAGCCGGCUCUGUAAGUUUUCGGUUAAAUCUGUACGCUCAACGUACAGGCUGCCGGGAAUACUGCAGAGCUAGGGAGUGGGAGAGGUAGACGGUACUCGGUAGGAAGGGGUAAAAUCCUUUGAUCUAUUGAUGACCACCUGUGGCGAAGGCGGUCUACCAGAACACGUCCGACGGUGGGGGAUGAAAGCUGGGGGAGCAAACCGGAUUAGAUACCCGAGUAGUCC
rnacentral:rRNA from 1 species